AUUGAACGCUGGCGGCAGGCCUAACACAUGCAAGUCGAACGAGUGGCGGACGGGUGAGUAAUGUCUGGGAAACUGCCCGAUGGAGGGGGAUAACUACUGGAAACGGUAGCUAAUACCGCAUACCAUCGGAUGUGCCAAGAUGGGAUUAGCUAGUAGGUGGGGUAACGGCUCACCUAGGCGACGAUCCCUAGCUGGUUUGAGAGGAUGACCAGCCAAACUGGGACUGAGACACGGUCCAGACCCCUACGGGAGGCAGCAGUGGGGAAUUUUGCACAAUGGGGGAAAGCCGGAUGCAGCCAUGCCGCGUGUAUGAGGAAGGCCUUCGGGUUGUAAAGUACUUUCGGCGGGGAGGCGUUACUCGCAGAAUAAGCACCGGCUAACUCCGUGCCAGCAGCCGCGGUAAUAC
rnacentral:rRNA from 1 species